rnacentral:rRNA from 1 species
UACGGAGGGAGCUAGCGUUGUUCGGAAUUACUGGGCGUAAAGCGCGUGUAGGCGGCUGCGCAAGUCGGAUGUGAAAUCCCAUGGCUCAACCAUGGAAGUGCACCCGAAACUGCGUAGCUAGAGUCUCGGAGAGGAAGGCGGAAUGCUUGGUGUAGAGGUGAAAUUCGUAGAUAAUCGAAGCGGAACACCGGUGGCGAAGGCGGCCUUCUGGACGAUGACUGACGCUGAGACGCGAAAGCGUGGGGAGCAAACAGG